rfam:Camponotus floridanus CamFlo_1.0_3.contig2588, whole genome shotgun sequence.
ACACACUAAUUCCAUUUAGUAUAUUUUCAGUUUUCAAGAUGGAUAAUUUUUCUAUUCAUGGGUAAUGAUGGGAUGAUGUGACCACAUCCCAUCUUUAAAAUUACACAGGACAAGUAGGCUACCGUGGGGGUUUUAGUGGGUAAGAAUCCCACACUACCCUCGAUUUCCUUCCUUGGAAUCGAGGGUGUCUUUGGAAGAUUUCCCCCACGUAAAA